rnacentral:rRNA from 1 species
UAGGUGGCAAGCGUUAUCCGGAUUUACUGGGUGUAAAGGGCGUGUAGGCGGGGUCGCAAGUCAGAUGUGAAAUCUCAUGGCUCAACCAUGGAACUGCAUUUGAAACUGUGAUUCUUGAGUGAUGGAGAGGCAGGCGGAAUUCCGUGUGUAGCGGUGAAAUGCGUAGAUAUACGGAGGAACACCAGUGGCGAAGGCGGCCUGCUGGACAUUAACUGACGCUGAGGCGCGAAAGCGUGGGGAGCAAA